rnacentral:rRNA from 1 species
CUGCUGCCUCCCGUAGGAGUCUGGGCCGUGUCUCAGUCCCAAUGUGGCCGUCCACCCUCUCAGGCCGGCUACUGAUCGUCGCCUUGGUGGGCCGUUACCCCGCCAACAAGCUAAUCAGACGCGGGUCCAUCUUACACCACCGGAGUUUUUCACACAAAUCCAUGCGGCUUCGUGCGCUUAUGCGGUAUUAGCACCUAUUUCUAAGUGUUAUCCCCCAGUGUAAGGCAGGUUACCCACGCGUUACUCACCCGUCCGCCACUAAG